UACGUAGGGGGCAAGCGUUGCUCGGAAUUAUUGGGCGUAAAGCGCACGUAGGCGGCUUCUUAAGUCGGUGGUGAAAUCCUGGAGCUCAACUCCAGAACUGCAUUCGAUACUGGGAAGCUCGAGUCCGGGAGAGGUGAGUGGAACUGCGAGUGUAGAGGUGAAAUUCGUAGAUAUUCGCAAGAACACCAGUGGCGAAGGCGGCUCACUGGCCCGGUACUGACGCUGAGGUGCGAAAGCGUGGGGAGCAAACGGG
rnacentral:rRNA from 1 species